rnacentral:tRNA from 1 species
CGGUGCGGUGCCCGGCCGCGGCGGCUGCCAGUGCCUGGAUCGCCGAGACGGUACGGAGGCCGGGGUCGUCGCCGCGUUCGGCCGCGGCGCGCCGG